rnacentral:rRNA from 1 species
CUCCUACGGAGGCAGCAGUGAGGAAUAUUGGUCAAUGGACGCAAGUCUGAACCAGCCAUGCCGCGUGAAGGAUGAAGGCCUUCUGGGUUGUAAACUUCUUUUACCUGGGAAGAAACCACUCUUUUCUAAGAGUGUUGACGGUACCAGAGGAAUAAGCACCGGCUAACUCCGUGCCAGCAGCCGCGGUAAUAC